rnacentral:rRNA from 1 species
GGAUUAGAUACCCUGGUAGUCCUAGCCCUAAACGAUGAGUACUAGGAGCGGGGCCUCAGGCUCGGUUCCGAAGCAAACGCAUUAAGUACUCCACCUGGGGACUACGACCGCAAGGUUGAAACUCAAAGGAAUUGACGGGGGCCCGCACAAGCGGUGGAGCAUGUGGUUUAAUUCGAUGCAACGCGGAAAACCUUACCUGGGCUUGACAUCCCCGGACAGCCUGUGAAAGCAGCUCUUCUCAGCAGUGGGACCGGGUGACAGGUGGUGCAUGGCUGUCGUCAGCUCGUGCUG